GAUGAACGCUGGCGGCGUGCCUAAUACAUGCAAGUCGAGCGAACAGACGAGGAGCUUGCUCCUCUGACGUUAGCGGCGGACGGGUGAGUAACACGUGGAUAACCUACCUAUAAGACUGGGAUAACUUCGGGAAACCGGAGCUAAUACCGGAUAAUAUAUUGAACCGCAUGGUUCAAUAGUGAAAGACGGUUUUGCUGUCACUUAUAGAUGGAUCCGCGCCGCAUUAGCUAGUUGGUAAGGUAACGGCUUACCAAGGCAACGAUGCGUAGCCGACCUGAGAGGGUGAUCGGCCACACUGGAACUGAGACACGGUCCAGACUCCUACGGGAGGCCGCAGUAGGGAAUCUUCCGCAAUGGGCGAAAGCUUGACGGAGCAACGCCGCGUGAGUGAUGAAGGUCUUCCGAUCGUAAAACUCUGUUAUUAGGGAAGAACAAAUGUGUAAGUAACUAUGCACGUCUUGACGGUACCUAAUCAGAAAGCCACGGCUAACUACGUG
rnacentral:rRNA from 1 species